rnacentral:tRNA from 2 species
CCGCCCGUAGCUCAGCUUGGUAGAGCAACGGCCUUUUAAGCCGCUGGUCGGAAGUUCGAAUCUUCCCGGGCGGACUA